GAAAAUAAAUACUGACACCUUACAACAAGUUUGAGUACUGUUUUACAAAACAAAUACAAUUCUUUUGUCAUUGUACAGUGCUCCUCGGACAACAAGGCUACCAUAUACAUUCAGAAGUGAUUAUUGCAUCUUCAAAUCUCCUUGGAUCCGGAUAUAGUUGUUUUCCUUGUCUACUUAUAGUUUUGCAGGUUGUUUAGCGUAUGUCGGGUCAACACAAACGACAACCUUUCCAGCACUUUUACCAGAAUGAAGGUACUCAACAGCAUCGGCAACUGAAUGUAGGCCAACAAACUGUUUGGGAUCUAUAGCGACCUUAAGCUUUCCAGAAGAGAAAAGAUUAACCAGUCUGUCCAAAUGCUCUUGCCAUAGGUGAGCAUAUUGUAUCAGGAAAAAUCCAGCCACGGUUUGACUUUUUGCUAGAAGCUUUUCGCAUAUUCCAGGGUAAUUCCGAGGUUUCCAACCAUGUUCUCCUUGAUACUGAGAAAUCAUUCCAAUGACAACAAGUCGUCCGUAGACAGCCAAUGCAUUCAAGCAAAUGUCAAACAUCUCACCACCAACGGACUCGUAGACAAUAUCAGCACCUUUAGGGAACUCCUCCUUUAAAACAGCUUUUAUAUCUUCCACUUUGUAGUCAAUGACCCGAUCAACUCCCAAAUCCUUAAGAAGCUUGGCCUUUUCGUAACCUCCACAAGUUGCAACUACAGUGUUUCCAGCUAAUUUUGCAAGCUGCACUGCAAAUUGUCCUGUCGCUCCUGCAGCGGCAGUCACAAGGACAACUUUUCCCGACUCCAUUUGAGCAGCCUUUUCCAAAGCAAUUGAUGCGGUGAGUCCAGAGGUAAGCAUUGCAAGUACUUCUGGAUCUGGUUUUUCUACAGGAAGGAUGUGUUUGGUGGGGACCAUGACAAAUUCAGCAUAACCGCCAAAAGUCAUGAUGGCAGCAGGCACGCCAAUCUUUAAAUUUCUAACACCAUCACCGAGUGCAGCAAUUACUCCCACAGCCUCGAAGCCAGAAUCCAGUGGAAGGAGGGAGGUGAUAUCUUUGCCAUUUCCACUGAAAUACCUCCCUGAGCUGAAGUUGACAUCACUAGCAUUCACACCAGCAUAGAUGACUUUUAAUAGAA
rnacentral:misc_RNA from 1 species